GUACGUAGGUGGCAAGCGUUGUCCGGAAUUAUUGGGCGUAAAGCGCGCGCAGGCGGUCCUUUAAGUCUGAUGUGAAAGCCCACGGCUCAACCGUGGAGGGUCAUUGGAAACUGGGGGACUUGAGUGCAGAAGAGGAAAGUGGAAUUCCAAGUGUAGCGGUGAAAUGCGUAGAGAUUUGGAGGAACACCAGUGGCGAAGGCGACUUUCUGGUCUGUAACUGACGCUGAGGCGCGAAAGCGUGGGGAGCAAACAGGAUUAGAUACCCUGGUAGUCCACGCCGUAAACGAUGAGUGCUAAGUGUUAGGGGGUUUCCGCCCCUUAGUGCUGCAGCUAACGCAUUAAGCACUCCGCCUGGGGAGUACGGUCGCAAGACUGAAACUCAAAGGAAUUGACGGGG
rnacentral:rRNA from 1 species